rnacentral:rRNA from 1 species
AUUGAACGCUGGCGGCAUGCUUUACACAUGCAAGUCGAACGGUAACAGGUUAAGCUGACGAGUGGCGAACGGGUGAGUAAUAUAUCGGAACGUGCCCAGUCGUGGGGGAUAACGUAGCGAAAGCUACGCUAAUACCGCAUACGAUCGCCGGAUGAAAGCGGGGGAUCGCCAGACCUCGCCCGCUUUGAGCGGCCGAUAUCAGGUUAGGUUGUUGGUGAGGUAAAAGCUCACCAAGCCUGCCAUCUGUAGCUGGUCUGAGAGGACGACCAGCCACACUGGAACUGAGACACGGUCCAGACUCCUACGGGAGGCAGCAGUGGGGAAUUUUGGACAAUGGACGCAAGUCUGAUCCAGCAAUGCCGCGUGCAGGACGAAGGCCUUCGGGUUGUAAACUGCUUUUGUACGGAACGAAACGGUGAGCUCUAAUACAGUUUGCUAAUGACGGUACCGUAAGAAUAAGCACCGGCUAACUACGUGCCAGCAGCCGCCGCCGUAA